rnacentral:rRNA from 1 species
GAUAAACGCUGGCGGCGCACAUAAGACAUGCAAGUCGAACGGAAGUCGUUUUAGUGAAUCAGAUAUGAAAGAUUUAUCCGGAAUUGAAGAUGAUCUAAAACAAUGGCUUUAGUGGCGGACUGGUGAGUAACACGUAAGCAACCUGCCUGUUAGAGGGGAAUAACAGCGAGAAAUCGUUGCUAAUACCGCAUAUGCCAUAAAAACCACAUGGUUUUAGUGGGAAAGGAGUGAUCCGCUAACAGAUGGGCUUGCGUCUGAUUAGAUAGUUGGUGGGGUAACGGCCUACCAAGUCGACGAUCAGUAGCCGGACUGAGAGGUUCAACGGCCACAUUGGGACUGAGAUACGGCCCAGACUCCUACGGGAGGCAGCAGUCGGGAAUAUUGCGCAAUGGAGGAAACUACUGACGCAGUGACGCCGCGUAUAGGAAGAAGGUUUCGGAUUGUAAACUAUUGUCUGCAGGGAAGAUAAAAGACUGUACCUAAGGAGG